UUUCAUUAAUGUGACCUCAAAUCAGGUAGGACUACCCGCUGAACUUAAGCAUAUCAAUA
rnacentral:rRNA from 1 species